CCAGCCACAGGCCUCUUUUUUUUUUUUUUUAAUAAAAUUUGUUAUUAUUGCAAGGGGAAGGAGGAAAGGGCCUCCAGAUUGUGAAACAGGCGGAAGAGGAACAAUGUGAGUUCCCUGACAGCCCCCAGCCCAGGCCACAGUGCCGCCCUGCCCUCUGCCACACAGCAACCUACAUGGGAAACCCUUCCCAGCCCUUCCCUGCCCGUCCUCCCCCCACCUCCUCCUCCUCCUCUCCCGGAACACACAGGCACUAGUUAUUAGGGAUUAGGUGGAACAGAUGCAUGUAAGAUGCUUACUGCCUUUUCCAGACACAAGGCCACUUUCCAAUCAGCUCAGAGGAAACAGGGAGGCAGCUGAUGCGGGCCGGCUGGCUGCCAAGCAGGUCAGGCCUCUGCAGCUGAAACUGCCCGAGAUUCCUGAGCGGGAUGAUGAAUCAGCUGUGUCCUUUAGGACACAUCCUCUCUUGGACGUGCUGCUGGGAUGUGGUGUCCCUCUUCCCCGUGGUGAGAGUGUGCUCAGAGCUGCUGGCUGAUGACACUGGUAAUGUCCGUAGCCAGACAUAUGCUCAUGGCCUGGAAUGAAGUCGACUGCAAUUACAUCCUAAGGGAGUCACUCAACGGGGGUUUUGUGGAGGCAGGACACAGGCUCUGGUGGAGCUGCACAUGUGCUGUUAGAGCUCCAACUGCACUCACUCUGCCUUCAGCUUUGUGGGAACAAGGAGCAGCAGGCUCACAAAUACAGCCAGUCUGGUGCACAUCUGGAGGCAGUAAUUGGAGUGCCUGUCUCUGUGCUAGAUGAGAGCCUGUGGGGAGUUCAGGGAGUGCAGGUCUGGGCCGUGUAUCACCCUGUCACCAGGACCAAGCUGUGAGAGGUCAGUACAUGUGCACAGCUCAGAGCAAUGCAUGCUGUGCUGGGGAAGGGGGUGGGGAAUGGCAGGUUUGAAACCCUCACUGGUAUUUUAUCUUCCGUUUAGCAUGGCUCAGGUUUGUCAACAAAACAUCAUGGUCCUGAAAUGUCAAGCCUGAGGUGGAACUGGGAAAAGAACAUCCUAGAGGUCCUGGGUUUCUGUCUAGGGCUUUGGACACAGCUUCAGUCGAAGAUUCGCCCUUCCUGAAAGGAGAGACAUGUCAAAGUGUAAUGUUUACAUCAAUUAUGUGAAGUCCAUUCAGGCCUAUUCAACCCCCUGUCUCUGCAUAACUUUUUUUUGGCAAGCAUUAACCAGUAAGGAAGGGAGUAAAUCUUGCUUGAAGUUAUUUUUCUUCCUGCUCCUGUGUCCCACCCCCAGGCGCCCCACUGCAGGUGCUACAGAGGCAAAAACCAGUGCUCCUGCAGAGACAGAUUAGCAGCACACAAAAUGAUCUCCCUCCUCCUUGUGCACCCCAGAGCCUGGAAACUCCCCCAUCUCUCCAGCCUUGCAGCCCAGCUGUCCCAAACCCCAGACAGCAGGGAUGGAUAACAGCAGGCUGCUCUGCACUGCAGCCCAGGCGAUAGAG
rnacentral:lncRNA from 1 species